GGGUAAUACUUUAAAGGAAACCUAUGUCCUUUGGCGGCCUUAUUUCUUAUUGAAGGAACUUGUCCUGUAAUCGAUGAUACCCGCUAGUUCUCACUCCAAAUUUGUUUUUAUACCGUCGUCUUAAGAACAUUAUAAGAGAAACUGUUCCACAUUAAAAAAUUAAGUAAGUCAGAUCAAGGUGAAGCCCAUACUGGAGCCCUGGGUGAGUUAUCUAUAAGCACUACUAAAGGAAUUAACUUCAAAAAGCUAUUAGAAUUAAGAUUCAACAGUACUAUAAAAUCAAAAUUUUUCAAAGGAAGAAGUAAAAAAAGGUGU
rnacentral:rRNA from 1 species